rnacentral:rRNA from 1 species
UCGAUUGAGUUUGAUCAUGGCUCAGGACGAACGCUGGCGGCGUGCUUAACACAUGCAAGUGGAGCGACGAACCAGGCUUCGGCCUGGGGCAAAGCCGCGAACGGGUGAGUAACACGUGGGUAACCUGCCCUGAUGAUCGGGACAACCCGGGGAAACCCGGGCUAAUACCGAAUGUGCCCGCGAGCCACAAGGCUCGCGCGGAAAGGAAGCUUUGGCCUCCGCAUCGGGAUGGGCCCGCGGCCCAUUAGCUUGUUGGUGGGGUAAUGGCCUACCAAGGCAGCAAUGGGUAGCUGGUCUGAGAGGACGAUCAGCCACACUGGGACUGAGACACGGCCCAGACUCCUACGGGAGGCAGCAGUGGGGAAUCUUGCGCAAUGCGCGAAAGCGUGACGCAGCAACGCCGCGUGGGGGAAGACGGCCUUCGGGUUGUAAACCCCUUUCAGUUGGGACGAAGCUUCGUCGGUGAAUAGCCGGCUGGAGUGACGGUACCUUCAGAAGAAGCCCCGGCUAACUACGUGCCAGCAGCCGCGGUAAUACGUAGGGGGCAAGCGUUGUCCGGAAUCAUUGGGCGUAAAGAGCGUGUAGGCGGCCCGAUAAGUCCGCCGUGAAAGUCCAGGGCUCAACCCUGGAAUGCCGGUGGAUACUGUCGGGCUAGAGUCCGGAAGGGGCGAGUGGAAUUCCUGGUGUAGCGGUGAAAUGCGCAGAUAUCAGGAGGAACACCAAUGGCGAAG